AUAGUAUCUUUUUUUAUCUAAUAAGUGUAAACAUUAAGCACAGUUGUUAGUCUGUGUGAACAGGACUGUGUCACUGAAGAUUAUACAUUGAUUUGUUUCAUUUCUCCACUUUAUUUUCUGUAGUAUAAUUCCAAAUAUGUUUUUUUUUUUAAUAGAGUCCACCAUGAAGUUUAAUAUGAAAAAGGCGGGACCGCUCUUGGCAUGGGUAUGAUUGUCAUCCAGUUAUGUUUUGUUUAAUGUACUCAGAGAUCUGACAAAUAAAUAGGUUGUUAGUCACGGUUAUUUAGUCUGUUGACAUGCUGGUUUAUAGUCUCAAUGUUUCUUCUGUAAGAUGCUUGACUUGUUCUUUUGACAGAUGAACACCGUGUUCCCAGAGAAGCAUGUCUGGGAGUUCGUUCCCAUGAGAGAUGGGAUUCUGCUCCUGAAGAUCUGCUUCAGACUAAGGGGCACGGAGAACACCGCGGAUUUUAAGACUUUAUCCCUUUACGAGAAAGUGGAAAUCAUUUUCAGUGUUUUGCAUGGUGAGUUUCAAAAUGUUGUCUGUUUAUUAUUUGAUGCAUAUGUUCUGCAUCUCUGGCUUUGCAUCAGCUGUCAUAUAUAAUAAUGCUUGAUUGGACACUAUGAAAUGAAUGAGACAAGCUUUAGUAGUGACAAAUUAUGCUCUGUUGACAGUAUUUGUUGCAUAAUGUUGAUUAACACAGAAUAUACUUUAUAUUUUGUAAUAUUCUCACCUGGCAUGACCAUGUCCUUUAACAUUUGCAUGAUAUGCAACAUACAGCAAUUUUUUUUACAUUUAUAUAUAUGUAUGUGUAUAUAUGUGUGUGUGUGUGUGUGUGUGUGUGUGUGUGUGUGUGUUUUUGUAUGCUUGAAAUAUAUAAAUGUUCCUAUUUUAAAGAUAAUGUUUCCUUGCUUACAACUUCUGUCUUGCAUGUGCAGAUGAUUUUCACCUCACCGAAAGACAGAGUUCCCUCAUCUUACAGAAGAUCAGUGGAGGGAUUGACCUGGAGCUUCAGCUCGCUAAGGUGGCGCUUUUGCUUUGUUACUGCGCUUUUAAAAAGGGCAUUCUGCUUCCAGUGGAUUCAAAUGUAGAGUCGGAAGUUACAUCCAUGUUUGCUUUUGUAAAAGAUGAUGCUGAUGGUCUGUCUUUAGAGGAAGGCCUAGAUCAGUUUCUAGCCCAAGACUGUAAGUAGUCGCAUUGUUUUGUGAAUUGGAUAGUUCAAUUAAAUCUAUGCUCUUCUGUUAAUCAUCUGUCUCUCACAUGCGUGCUCUCUGUAGCUUUUAUGAACGUUGUGAACUCUAGCAGCGGCAGCUCGCUGUUAUACACCGAUGACGAGUCUCCGAUCGUAGGCCGGUUUCAACGGCCUCCCAGAGUUCAGUUUCAAGAGCUUUGUACAGUGGCUUCCAGCUCAGACGGGUCAGUGUGUGUGUGUGUGUGUGUGUGUGUGUUCUGUUUUUGUUAAAGCCUUCUUGACUAAAACCAUAAAAAAGGUUAAACGAGUCACUGCUUUAAAAGUUGUAAUUGUAUGGUGACAAGUACAGCAAUGCUAAUAGAAAAUGCAUUUGUUUACAUUAAAAUCAGCAUUUUGUUGAUUAAUAUAACUGAUUUUUUAUAUGUUCAACUUCAAAUAUAAAGGAAUAUUCUGGGUUUAUAAUGUUGCUCAUAAUAUCGAAUACCACAAAAAUGAAUUUUUCCACUUUUUCUUUCCUUGUUUUUUAAUUCAC
rnacentral:lncRNA from 12 species